AUGCCAGCAGCCGCGGUAAUACGGAGGGUCCAAGCGUUAUCCGGAAUCWUUGGGUUUAAAGGGUGCGCAGGCGGUUUAWUAAGUCAGUGGUGAAAUCUCGGGGCUCAACUCCGAAACUGCCAUUGAUACUGUUAAACUUGAGUUCAGUUGGAGUAGGCGGAAAUGUGUAGUGUAGCGGUGAAAUGCGUAGAUAUUACACAGAACACCGAUAGCGAAGGCAGCUUACUAGAUCUGAUACUGACGCUGCAGGCACGAAAGUCGUGGGGAGCGAACAGGAUUAGAUACCCUGGUAGUCCACGCCGUAAACUAUGAUUACUCGAUAUUGGCGAUAUACUGU
rnacentral:rRNA from 1 species